rnacentral:rRNA from 1 species
AUUUAUAAUCUGGCACCUUCGGUGUCCGAGUUGUAAUCUCUAGAAAUGUUUUCCGCGUUGGACCGCACACAAGUCUGUUGGAAUACAGCGGCAUAGUGGUGAGACCCCCGUAUAUGGUGCGGACGCCCAGCGCUUUGUGAUACAUUUUCGAAGAGUCGAGUUGUUUGGGAAUGCAGCUCAAAUUGGGUGGUAAAUUCCAUCUAAAGCUAAAUAUUGGCGAGAGACCGAUAGCGAACAAGUACCGUGAGGGAAAGAUGAAAAGCACUUUGGAAAGAGAGUUAACAGUACGUGAAAUUGUUGGAAGGGAAACGCUUGAAGACAGACUUGCUUGCCGAGCAAUCGGUUUGCAGGCCAGCAUCAGUUUUCCGGGAUGGAUAAUGGUAGAGAGAAGGUAGCAGUUUCGGCUGUGUUAUAGCUCUCUGCUGGAUACAUCUUGGGGGACUGAGGAACGGAGUGUGCCUUUGGCGGGGGUUUCGACCUCUUCACACUUAGGAUGCUGGUGGAAUGGCUUUAAACGACCCGUCUUGAAC